CAGGGGAUAGUUUAGUAAGAAUUCUAGCUUUGGGAGCUAGGGGUGAAGUAGUUAGCUUCUUCCUUGA
rnacentral:tRNA from 1 species